UUUAACAAGACAAAUAGGGUACCGUACUUCGCUUUCUCCUACUCCCCCAAGUGGGAGGAAGUUGGAGGUGGAAGAAGUUGACAAUUAUUAGUAUGCAUUAACCAACCUUGAUGGCAAAAUUCUGAAAUCAUACGUGUUUCUAGGUUACUACUGGCUAGAGGUUAUAUAUUGACAACUAGCUAAAAUAAGCUGUUGGUGUUUCGAUUUCGACCCCUUUUUUUCAUCUGAA
rnacentral:lncRNA from 1 species